UACGUAGGGUGCAAGCGUUGUCCGGAAUUAUUGGGCGUAAAGAGCGUGUAGGCGGCCAGGUAGGUCCGCUGUGAAAACUCGAGGCUCAACCUCGAGAUGUCGGCGGAAACCAUCUGGCUAGAGUCCGGAAGAGGAGAGUGGAAUUCCUGGUGUAGCGGUGAAAUGCGCAGAUAUCAGGAGGAACACCAAUGGCGAAGGCAGCUCGCUGGGACGGUACUGACGCUGAGACGCGAAAGCGUGGGGAGCAAACAGG
rnacentral:rRNA from 1 species